rnacentral:rRNA from 1 species
GAUGAACGCUGGCGGCGUGCCUAAUACAUGCAAGUCGAGCGAACAGACGAGGAGCUUGCUCCUCUGACGUUAGCGGCGGACGGGUGAGUAACACGUGGAUAACCUACCUAUAAGACUGGGAUAACUUCGGGAAACCGGAGCUAAUACCGGAUAAUAUAUUGAACCGCAUGGUUCAAUAGUGAAAGACGGUUUUGCUGUCACUUAUAGAUGGAUCCGCGCCGCAUUAGCUAGUUGGUAAGGUAACGGCUUACCAAGGCAACGAUGCGUAGCCGACCUGAGAGGGUGAUCGGCCAAACUGGAACUGAGACACGGUCCAGACUCCUACGGGAGGCAGCAGUAGGGAAUCUUCCGCAAUGGGCGAAAGCCUGACGGAGAAACGCAGCGUGAGUGAUGAAGGUCUUCGGAUCGUAAAACUCUGUUAUUAGGGAAGAACAAAUGUGUAAGUAACUAUGCACGUCUUGACGGUACCUAAUCAGAAAGCCACGGCUAACUACGUG